GGACUCUUCUCAUCCAGUAGCUUUGGCCUUUGGACUUCCAGGGCUCCUCCUCUCUGUAGCAAUAAAGCUUCCAACUCAGAAUCUCAGUUGAAAACAACAAUGAUGAUAAAGUGUGUUCAGUCUUUCCUGGGACUGGUAUAGUGGAAGUUCUCCAGAAUCAAGCCACUGAAGGGCAAGAUUAGAGAGGAGACAUACUGUGGAGUCUUCUCCAGAAAGGAAAGGAAACAGAAAUGUAAAAUUCAGUAACUAUCCUGUCCCCUGUGGAUGGCAGUAUGUGGAUAGGGAGUAGGCUUUUAUUGCAAAAAUGGAGUUUUAAUGUCACAAAAUGGAAUAUGAUACAAAGCUCCCAUGGAUUUUCCUAAAGUCAAGAAGAUUAAAGUUCUUGAAUGGCAUUGUAAAAAUAAUGAAAUAUGCGAGGCACCGAAACAAUGGCACCAGCAAACUGAGGACUGAGACUUCUGAAGCUAUGAGUCGGAUGGAGACCACCCUGAGUAUUUUGUCACGGCAAUGGAAAGCUGACUAAUAUGACCUCAUACCUUAAAUAAAGUUUAAUGCAUAAUUUUAAGACUCCC
rnacentral:lncRNA from 1 species